AUUGAACGCUGGCGGCAUGCCUUACACAUGCAAGUCGAACGGUAACAGGUCUUCGGAUGCUGACGAGUGGCGAACGGGUGAGUAAUGCCUAGGAAUCUGCCUGUUAGUGGGGGAUAACGCGGGGAAACUCGCGCUAAUACCGCAUACGUCCUACGGGAGAAAGCGGGGGCUCUUCGGACCUCGCGCUAACAGAUGAGCCUAGGUCGGAUUAGCUAGUUGGUGGGGUAAUGGCUCACCAAGGCGACGAUCCGUAACUGGUUUGAGAGGAUGAUCAGUCCCACUGGAACUGAGACACGGUCCAGACUCCUACGGGAGGCAGCAGUGGGGAAUAUUGGACAAUGGGCGAAAGCCUGAUCCAGCCAUGCCGCGUGUGUGAAGAAGGUCUUCGGAUUGUAAAGCACUUUAAGUCGGGAGGAAGGGCUGUAGGUUAAUACCCUGCGGUUUUGACGUUACCGACAGAAUAAGCACCGGCUAACUUCGUGCCAGCCGCCGCAGUAACAC
rnacentral:rRNA from 1 species